UCCGUAGGUGGAUAAUUAAGUCAGAGGUGAAAUCCUGCAGCUCAACUGUAGAAUUGCCUUUGAUACUGGUUAUCUUGAGUCAUUAUGAAGUGGUUAGAAUGUGUAGUGUAGCGGUGAAAUGCAUAGAUAUUACACAGAAUACCGAUUGCGAAGGCAGAUCACUAAUAAUGUACUGACACUGAGGGACGAAAGCGUGGGGAGCGAACAGGAUUAGUUACCCUGGUAGUCC
rnacentral:rRNA from 1 species